AGAUUGAACGCUGGCGGCAUGCCUUACACAUGCAAGUCGAACGGCAGCGGGCCUUCGGGUGCCGACGAGUGGCGAACGGGUGAGUAAUAUAUCGGAACGUGCCCAGUAGUGGGGGAUAGCCCGGCGAAAGCCGGAUUAAUACCGCAUACGACCUGAGGGUGAAAGCGGGGGAUCGCAAGACCUCGCGCUAUUGGAGCGGCCGAUAUCAGAUUAGCUAGUUGGUGGGGUAAAGGCCUACCAAGGCAACGAUCUGUAGUUGGUCUGAGAGGACGACCAGCCACACUGGGACUGAGACACGGCCCAGACUCCUACGGGAGGCAGCAGUGGGGAAUUUUGGACAAUGGGCGCAAGCCUGAUCCAGCAAUGCCGCGUGCAGGAAGAAGGCCUUCGGGUUGUAAACUGCUUUUGUCAGGGAAGAAAUCUUCUGGGUUAAUACCUCGGGAGGAUGACGGUACCUGAAGAAUAAGCACCGGCUAACUACGUG
rnacentral:rRNA from 1 species